GGCCACCUGGUGUGGGCAAGGAACAGGGAGCAUAUCACGGCUGGCAGAGGCCCUCCCUCGCCCUCCCACACAGACCCGGCAGGGAGGCACUGAAGCACCCAGGAAGGCAGCCACGACCCGGAGUCUCAGGGGGCGGUGCUUUGCACGGGAGGAGUCUGGUAUUCAGUUUAUAGGGGCUCCUGGGGAGCACCGAGUGGGCAGGCGCUAGAGUGAGUACCCGGGUGGUGGCAUGUGGGUGGCCGCAGGAAGGCCUGGUGUGGGAAGAGCAGAGAAGGCUCAGCCAGAAACUGGUGAGAGGGGUGGACUAGGCAGGGCCUCAUGGUCUCAAGGACGGAAGGGUGGAGGUAGGCCAAACACCUAGACUGGGACUGGGGUCUCCUAAAGCAGCGUGGCCAGGAUGUCCCAGUUUGGAGUGUGAUGUGGGCGUGGCUUCACGUGGGCUGGGAAUACUGGGUCUCGGCCAGGAUUGGCUGUAGGGGCAGAGUGGGCGGGGCCUUGGAACCCACUAGGAGGAGUAGGCCCAGAACCCAGGCUGGGAUAUACGAUUACUCAAGAGGGGGCGUGCCGUGGAAAUUCACACUGCGCAAUCUGCAGGGGGCUGAGGACCAGACCUGAGUCAGUGGGAACAGCCAAAGGGGGUAACCGGAGAUGGGCCCACUCCUGCGCUUGGGGAAGGGAGAGACGCCACGUGCAGUGGUCCUUCCGGCAGUGGGGCCGCGCCCCGGGUCCCAGAGGAGUAAAGCAAAGAUCUGGUCCCCUGGCGAAUCCCGCCCCACCUCCGACAACGCAGCCCCGAGGGGAUCCAGCUCCACCCCCAAGCACGUCCAUCCCCAGCGCCCGCAGGGGGCUGAACUCUGCGACCCCGGCCCACCGCUGCGCCCGCACUUACUCCUCCAGCCGGCGGAAGGCCUGCGCGCGCUCAGCUUGCAACUGGUGGAUGCGCUGCACCAGCGCCCGGAUCGGGGCAUCUUUCUACGGAGUGGGGGGCAUGGCUGGGGCAUGAAGUCGGCGCCCCCAAGCCUGCACCGCCCACCCCGCCCCUGUUCCUGCUCGAGCCCGGGCUCACCCAGGGCCACGCCGGCUCCUCGCGCUCCGGGACACCGGUAGCCACCGCAGUACCGGGCACCGAGGGGACAGCGGAGUCCUCCGCGGCCUUGGCAGUGAUCAUGACUGCGCAGCCCCGGCCCCGCCCAGGACGAGGGUGCUCCGCGGCGCCGGGCGCCCCCUGCAGGCCAGGAGGCCUUCCGACCCCAGCCUGUGGCCAGCCAAAACGGAAACCUGAGGACCUGGGGCAAAGACCAGAGUCUUAGGCCUGCCCUGCUCCACCCACCACCCUGCUUGCUCAGGUCGAGCGCCCGCUUUCCAUCGUUUGUCCUCGAUGUAAGGCUUCGUAUACAGCAAGGCCGUCCCUCGGUUUGUAUACAUUUAUCCCAACAUCGACUUCAUUUCAACCUCACAUCCUGCCCCCACUCCAAUAAACAGAACCCUUGUCGUCCAAGGUAACAUGGCUGUGACAUGAGUAUUUGAACAGAGGUUCUGAUACUGGAGAGCCCAAAAGGCUGGAGUCCAGCUGUUUAACAAAUUUAUCAGGCGUUAUGUGCACUCCUCAGAAAUGGGCCUGUGCAAAGGCCCAGAGAGCCUGGGGCAGGGUUAAAGUCAACAGGGCCUCACGUUAAGUGCAAGGAAGGCCUUGCAGCUCUCUGCUGGGGCUACACUAUGUAGUUUGAGCUUUCAGAAGCUGCUUUCUCAAGGGAUAAAUGUGGGAAAGACCAGAAAGGUGUUGGUAGCCUAGCCUAGGGAGCAGGGGGCAGUUGACAGGGAGGAGACCCAUGGAAAAACGGAGACACCAGCCUUUGGCUGGCACCUCAGGGCUCAGCAGAACUACAGGAUCACUGGCCUGGCCUGGGUCGUCAUCUGACACCUAGUCCAAAUCACCCUGAGAUAAAUAAAAGGAUGGCCUUCCCAGAGCCAGUCCAGGGCACUACAAAGCUUAUCUGAUUCUCAAGAGUAUCAGCACAAGUUUUAUAAACACCAAGGCCCAGCCCUCCAAGACUGACCUCACAGGUCUCGGGUAGGGCCCAAGGGCUCAUGUUCAGCAGAAACAGGUUUUACACUAGGUGGGGUGUUUGUCUAUCCACCCACACCUCAACACCCCCAGGGCACAGGCAGGAAAGUCAUCAAAGUGCCUGAGGAGGGGGGCGCCUGGAUGACUCAGUCGUUUGCUAAGUGUCUGCCUUCGGCUCAGGGCAUGAUCCCAGCGUUCUGGGAUCGAGGCCCCGAUCCCGCAUCGGGCUCCUCCACUGGGAGACUGCUUCUUCCUCUCCCACUCCCCCUGCUUGUGUUCCCUCUCUUGCUGGCUGUCUGUCAAAUAAAUAACUAAAAUCUUAAAAAAAAAGAAAAAAAAAAAGUGUGUGAGGAGAGCCCAGCCAGUGACGUGGCUGACCUGCAGUCCCGCAAGAGCCUGGGCUGGGGGCUCUCUAUCCCCAUUUAUAGAUGAAGAAACCUGGACGUGCAGGUUCGCUAGGCUACGUGGCAAAGGGCCGAGACCACAGCACAUUUUACAGAUGAGACAACCACAACCUAAAGGACACAGGACGCUCAAGGGCUAGGCAGACUCAAGUAACAGGAGGGCCUAAGGGACAUGCCCACAACGGAACCAGCUCCUCGUUGGACAGACCACCACACAGACACCAGUUACUGCUCCAGUCAAUGAAAGGGAAACUUUAUUGAGGCCCCAGGGCCUUGGGGCUUGGGCAGGAGGCCGCCCUGCGGGCAAAGGAAGAGCCGGUGGAGGGGCCUUAUUUGACCUUCUUUUUGGGGCGCAGGUUGUUGGUGUGGCCGCACUUCUUCUUGCGGCAGUUGACGGCGCGGGGGUGCAGGCGAG